rnacentral:rRNA from 1 species
GACGAACGCUGGCGGCGUGCCUAAUACAUGCAAGUCGAGCGGGGAUUAUGCUUGAUCGCUUCGGUGAGACGGCAUAUAUCCUAGCGGCGGACGGGUGAGUAACGCGUGGGUAAUCUACCUCGUAGUUCGGGAUAACAGGCCGAAAGGCUUGCUAAUACCGGAUGAGUUCAUGCUUAUGCAUAUAGGCAUGAAGAAAGGGCUAGCCCGCUAUGAGGUGAGCCCGCGUCCCAUUAGCUUGUUGGUGGGGUAAUGGCCUACCAAGGCAACGAUGGGUAGCCGGCCUGAGAGGGUGUACGGCCACACUGGGACUGAGACACGGCCCAGACUCCUACGGGGGCAGCAGUGGGAAUAUUGCACAAUGGGCGAAAGCCUGAUGCAGCAACGCCGCGUGAGCGAUGAAGGCCUUCGGGUCGUAAAGCUCUGUCCUCAAGGAAGAAUAAUGACGGUACUUGAGGAGGAAGCCCCGGCUAACUACGUGCC